rnacentral:lncRNA from 1 species
UGAAAGGACUGAUCUGUCAAAUCGGGGCCUGGAGUUCAGCUCCUGCUCUACUCCUUCCCAACUGUGGAGCUUAGGAAAGUUGCUGAAACCUGGGACCUCCCCGUCCUCCGCUGUCAGCCAGGGGUCCCUGCUGCUUCGUGCUGCUGCCCUGAGAAUUCACCGACAGUGCACGCAAAGCCCCUAAGAUUGUGCCUGAUACUCAGUAAGCAAGCAGGGUCUGUUCCUUAUCACGGUUAGGUUUUCUACCAUGAACGUUUAUAUUCCUGCCAAUUAUACCCAAGAAAAUUGUGGAGAAAGUGUUAAAAGUUAAGAGAAGGAAAGCAAAUACAUCCCUGGGUGGCUGGGAUGGUGCUGUGGGGCUGCGUAGGGGGAUGGCCAGCACUAGUGACCAGCUGCUACGUCCAUUGAUUGAGGGUUAGAACGUUCCAUAGCCAGACUGAUCCUGCAGAAACACAGACACACACACAUACACACAGUUAAGCCCCAGAUGCCAGGGAGACUGGAGUGCCCUCUGCUUAGGUCUACUGUCCAAAGAGAGAAAGCCUAGGCCUUGGACACCUGUCUAGGUUGUAAAAACCCAGACACAUGGGACUCUCUGACUCUUGGAGCAAUUUUACGUUCAAAAAGAUCAAGGUUAGAAGCCAGGGUCCUUUCCGUCCCAUUUCCAAGGAGCAAAAGUCGCUCUUCCUCCUUUCUGGAUGAAGAGAGAGAGAUACAGCUACUCCUGUCCUGUGCAUAAGCAGAGAAAAUCCUUUGUUUUCCAUCCCUCAUCUUCGAGGUGUAGGCAGCGCUCAUGUAGAAAGUCCCCAUAAGCUUUCAUCACCUUGCCCCAGGUCUGGGUGUGGGGGCCGAUGGGGCAGCGUCACUGGCUGUUGGUCUGGUGUGAGUGCCAGUAACAGAGCUGCCUCGUGUUUUUGCAGCAUUCACAUGCGUAAAGUACAUAACCGUGCAAGCAGGCAACAUCCGGACCCUGCAUGGUUUGACAAACCGGCCAUGUAGCUGAGCACAUCACGGUGCCCAGAGAAACCCAUGUCCCAUCUCUGUGACAAGGAACAAGGGAGCAAGGUUGACGACACAGCCCAUGAGGGACAUUGGCAGGACCAGGAAGCUCCAGGCAGCCUCAUCCAGUGCUCCUUCUUUUAGCAAAGACCCCCCAAACAUGAAUAAACAGCUAAUUUUUUACAAAUUGUAGCUGGAUCCUUUUAUAGAAGAGUACACUCCUAAUGAAAGGACUCUGUCCCAAGCUGUUCCUGAAAGAAAUGGAGAAUGUUGGCGUCUCCUGGCAUUUCCGCUUCUGAUCAGCCUCAUCUGAGAAUUUAAUCCAUUUUCUGAUCAAAGUCCAAAGUCUCUGUUUUGCUCGAGCUUUAAUCAUUGGCUGUAAAGACUCCCUGCUAUUGCACACACAUAUUAAAAUCAGGUUACAGCCAAACAGUGAUUUGGUUCUGAGGGCUGGGGGGUUGGGUAAGGAAUACACAUCUAAAUAGGCAAUGGGUACUCCCAGGUCUCAGGUAAAAGUUAACAAUGUUUUCAGCAUAUUGGGAAUAUUUUAUCCUAUAUGCUGAAUUUUCUGUAGGCUGAAUGCUAUAUGUGAAUUGUUGAAAUGGCCCUGACCUGUGUUUUCUGUUAUUUUUUUAACACUUAAGCAAAA